UACGUAGGAAGCUAGCGUUAUCCGGAUUUAUUGGGCGUAAAGCGGGCGUAGGUGGUCCUUCAAGUCCGAUGUGAAAUCUCCUGGCUUAACUGGGAGGGUGCAUCGGAUACUGUUGGACUGGAGUGCAGCAGAGGAAGAUGGAAUUCCCGGUGUAGUGGUGAAAUGCGUAGAUAUCGGGAGGAACACUAGUGGCGAAGGCGGUCUUCUGGGCUGUAACUGACACUGAGGUCCGAAGGCGUGGGGAG
rnacentral:rRNA from 1 species